AUUUAGUUACAAAUAUGUGAUCUGAACAAAAGUGCUGAGGCAUGAAUCCUUGAUUUCACUCGGUUUAAAAGCCCUGCCUCCAGCAUGCAGCUGGCACAUUUGAAAGACAUGGCGGCAGAAAAACUACACAAGUGGACGGAGGCCCAAACCAGAGCCCUCAUUCUACAGAGGACUGACAAUGAGCACCUGUUUACAGGAAAGAGG